rnacentral:sRNA from 1 species
UGUAAAUUGAGGGAAUCCUGACCUCUGCCUCCCGGUCUGUGGGAUCAAGUGUCAGAACCCCUGGCAGCGCCAUCCCUGAGCCUGGCACACAGGAGAUGUGUCCACUCACAGCUUAUUCUUUGUCCCGCCCUUGGGGACAGUAUUCCCUGCCGGGAUCCUCCAGCCCCCCUUCUUCAGCAAGGAGCAGCCACAGGCCUUGAACUUUGGAGGCAUUGGGAUGGUGAUCGGGCACGAGAUCACGCACGGCUUUGACGACAAUGGCCGGAACUUCGACAAGAAUGGCAACAUGAUGGAUUGGUGGAGUAACUUCUCCACCCAGCACUUCCGGGAGCAGUCGGAGUGCAUGAUCUACCAGUACGGCAACUACUCCUGGGACCUGGCGGAUGAACAGAACGUGAACGGAUUCAACACCCUUGGGGAAAACAUUGCUGACAACGGAGGGGUGCGGCAAGCCUAUAAG